rnacentral:ncRNA from 1 species
ACCAAGGAUUUUGACAUGUGUGUGAGUUAACGUGCAAGUAAACCCGUAAGGCGUAAGAAAGUUGAUUGGUGGGAUCCUCCUGAGGGGUGCACCACUGACUGACCUUGAUCUUCAGAGAAGGGUUUAAGUGUGAGCAUACCUGUCGAGACCCAAAAGAUAAAGAAUUAUGCUUGAGCGGGGCAAAGCCAUAGGAAACUUAGGUGGAGACUUGCAACAAUACUGAUGUGCAAUUUAUUUGUCUGACUUAGGUAUAGGGGCAAAAGACUAAUUGAACCAUCUAGUAGCUGGUUUCCUCCGAAGUUUUCCUCAGGAUAUCUGGAGCUCGCGUGUGAUUUCUAUCGGGUAAAGCCAAUGAUUAGAGUCCUCGGGGGCGUAACACCCUCGACCUAUUCUCAAACUUAAAUAAGUAGGAUGGCACGGCUAUUUUAUUGUGCCGCACCACAGAGUCAAGAGCUCCAAGUGGGCCAUUUUAAGUAAGCAGAGCCGGUGAUACAGGAUGAACUGGAAGUCUACUUACGGUGCCAAACUGCGUGCUAACCUAGAUCCCAUAAAGGGUGUUGGUCAAUUAUGACAGCAGGACGGUGGUCAUGGAAGUCAAAAUCUGCUAAGUAGUAUGUAACAACUCACAUGCUGAAUUAACUAGCCCAGAAAAUGAAUGGCACUUAAGUACGCGACCUACACCCGAUUGUCGGGGCAAGUCCUAGGCCCCGAUGAGUAGGAGGGUGCAUCGGUCGCUGUAAAACCUAGGCACGAGCUCGAGCAGAGCUGCCAUCGGUGCAGAUCUUGGUGGUAGUAGAAAAUAUUCAAAUGAGAACUUUGAAGGAUGAAGAUGGGAAAGGUUCCAUGUGAACGGCACUUGCAAAUGGGUUAGUCGAUCCUAAGGGUCGGGGAAACCCUAACAGAUAGCAUAUUUUGUGUGUACUCUGAAAGGGAAUUGGGUUAAAAUUCCUGAACCGUGGCGUGGCGGUUCAAAGCAACAUUAGAAAAUCCAGAGACGUCAGCGGAAACCUCGGGAAGAGUUAUCUUUUCUGUUUAACAGCUUUUCCACCUUGGAAUUGGCUCAGCCGGAGGUAGGGUCUAGCGGCUGGAAAAGCACCGCACAUCGCAUGGUGUCUGGUGCACUCCCAGUGGCCCUUGAAAAUCUAGAGAACUGAAUGUCAUCCACGCCCAAUCGUACUCAUAACUGCAUCAGGUCUCCAAGGUGAACAACCUCUGGCC